CAUGUCUUUUUGUUAAUGAUUUUAAGUCUGGCCUGCUCGAUGAGUUUUAAAUUGCCGCAGUAUUUUGACUGUGCAAAGGUAGCAUAAUAAUUAGUUUCUUGAUUAGGAGCUUGAAUGAAGGGUUGAACAAGAAAAUUUCUGUCUCUGUCUUAUUGUUAUUGAAUUUUAUUUUUAAGUUAAAAAGCUUAAAUUUUUUUAAAAGACGAGAAGACCCUAUAGAGUUUUAUUGUUUGAUUUGGUUAUUUUUUGGAAAUUUUAUUAUUUUAAAUAAUUUGGUUGGGGUGACUCGGAUAUUAAUUAAAUUUUCUGAUUAUAUUAUUGUUUAUUUUUAAAUUUAAGGUCUGUUUUUUAUAAGUUUAAAUUAAAUUACCUUAGGGAUAACAGCGUAAUUUUUCUUUAAAGUUCUUAUUAAAAGAAGAGUUUGCGACCUCGAUGUUGGAUUAAAAUAAAUUUUUGGUGCAGUAACUAAGGGAUUAGGUCUGUUCGACCUUUAAAAUUUUACAUGAUCUGAGUUUAGACCGGCGUGAGCCAGGUUAGAUUCUAUCUUUAGGAUUAUUAUAAUAUUUUAGUACGAAAGGACCAUAUAUUGAUUAGAUUAAUUG
rnacentral:rRNA from 1 species